GCCGGAAGUAGAGCCGCGCGGAAGGGGCGGGACGAAUUCGUCCUCGAGGGAGAGGAAGGAGCGGCAUUGGCCCAAGAGAGACGCCCUUGCGCGGGAGGGGGCCGGGCCGGGAAGGAGCUGGGCCGUGAGAGGGGAGGGGCCCCCGAGGGACUCCUGGGUCUGGUCAGGUCGACGGCGCUACGACCGGGCCUGGAGGAUCUUGGCCUGCGGAGACCCCCUGGGCAGGACGGAACGGCGGGGCCCUAAUGACGUUGAGGCUGCUGAGGCCCACGGGAUGCCCAGGUCGCCCCCUGCCGGUCCGCAGACCACUGCAGGGCACUGCUGCACAGGCUGCGUCGCCCUCUGCCGGGUGCGCUGACGCCAAACACCUACGAAGUGAUGGCAUCCAAGGAUGACAUAAACCGCAGUUUGUCAUCACCGGAGUUUAGUAUCCUCUAGGGGAAACAUGAGCAAAUGGGACUCCCACAUGUGUGCAGAUGCCUAUGGAGCCCCGAGGAGGGCCUCAGAUCCCUU